rnacentral:rRNA from 1 species
AACGCGAAGAACCUUACCCAGGUUAGAAGUGCAGGAGACGAUAGCAGAGAUGCUAUUUCCCGAAAGGGCUGCUGUAUAGGUGCUGCAUGGCUGUCGUCAGCUCGUGCCGUGAGGUGUUGGGUUAAGUCCCGCAACGAGCGCAACCCUUAUCAUUAGUUGCCAACACGAGAGGUGGGGACUCUAAUGAGACUGCCUAGGUUAACUAGGAGGAAGGUGAGGAUGACGUCAAGUCCGCAUGGCCUUUAUGUCUGGGGCUACACACGUGCUACAAUGGUCGGUACAGAAGGCAGCAAAAUCGUGAGAUGAAGCAAAUCCCCAAAGCCGAUCCCAGUUCAGAUUGUAGUCUGCAACUCGACUACAUGAAGUUGGAAUUGCUAGUAAUGACGUGUCAGCAACAACGUCGUGAAUACGUUCCCGGGCCUUGUA